UUCCGUAGGGGGAACCUGCGGAGGGAUCAUUACACAAAUAUGAAGGCGGGCUGGAACCUCUCGGGGUUACAGCCUUGCUGAAUUAUUCACCCUUGUCUUUUGCGUACUUCUUGUUUCCUUGGUGGGUUCGCCCACCACUAGGACAAACAUAAACCUUUUGUAAUUGCAAUCAGCGUCAGUAACAAAUUAAUAAUUACAACUUUCAACAACGGAUCUCUUGGUUCUGGCAUCGAUGAAGAACGCAGCGAAAUGCGAUAAGUAGUGUGAAUUGCAGAAUUCAGUGAAUCAUCGAAUCUUUGAACGCACAUUGCGCCCUUUGGUAUUCCAAAGGGCAUGCCUGUUCGAGCGUCAUUUGUACCCUCAAGCUUUGCUUGGUGUUGGGCGUCUUGUCUCUAGCUUUGCUGGAGACUCGCCUUAAAGUAAUUGGCAGCCGGCCUACUGGUUUCGGAGCGCAGCACAAGUCGCACUCUCUAUCAGCAAAGGUCUAGCAUCCAUUAAGCCUUUUGUCAACUAUCGACCUCAGAAGAGGUAUCUGUCAAAAGGC
rnacentral:rRNA from 1 species